UACGUGAGGGGCGAACGUUGUUCGGUGUCACUGGGCUUAAAGGGCGCGUAGGUGGUCGCAUAAGUAAGGUGUGAAAUCCCUCGGCUUACCCGGGGAACUGCGCCUUAUACUGUGUGGCUUGAGGGCCAUAGGGGGAACGGGGAACUCCAGGUGUAGCGGUGAAAUGCGCAGAUAUCUGGGGGAAGGCCGGCGGCGAAGGUGCCGUUCUGGAUGGUACCGUGACACUGAGGCGCGAAAGCGUGGGGGAGCAAACAGGG
rnacentral:rRNA from 1 species